rnacentral:tRNA from 1 species
GGAGGGAUGGCCGAGUCCGGUCGAAGGCGCUCGCCUGGAGAGCGAGUAGACGGCUAAAAGCUGUCUCGUGGGUUCGAAUCCCACUCUCUCCGCCA